GUACGCUUAUGGGGUAUUCUCAUUGAAAGUUCAAUCAAUUAUGAACCGGAAAAUUCAGAUGUCUGGGGUUUCUUACCAAUAUCGUGCUAUAUUCAAAGAUCAUUUACAUUAAAUUAUUCGAAAAAGGUAAAAGACGAUAAGGGCGACGCGUCCAAAAAACCAGCCAGAAAGAAGAGUUCAAGGUUACUUGAAGCAAAAAACACAGGGACCCGCCCAGAAGGGGCAGUAAGUGGCAGCCAGGUGUACCCCAAUAUGGCUCAUGGUUAGACUGGAUCGAUGGCCUCUGGUGGAUGACCUGCAAAUCCAGCCACACGAGCUUAUUCUGGGAGAUGGCUGCCCAGUCUCCAUCAUGCUGUCUGAGUUCUUUGACUUCAAGUAUCCUUUAUCUUCAUGUGGC
ensembl:lncRNA